rnacentral:rRNA from 1 species
UCGAGAAUAUUCCACAAUGGACGAAAGUCUGAUGGAGCGACACCGCGUGCGAGAUGAAGGCCUUAGGGUUGUAAAUCGCUUUUAUUAGGGAUCAAUGUACUGAGCGUACCUAAUGAAUAAGAGGUUACUAACUCUGUGCCAGCAGUAGCGGUAAUACAGAGACCUCAAGCGUUAUCCGGAUUUAUUGGGCGUAAAGCGUAUGUAGGCUGAUGUAUUAGUCGUGGGUCAAAUUUUCGAGCUCAACUCGAAACCUGCUCACGAAACGGUACAUCUAGAGAAAGUGAGAGAUGACUGGAACUCAUGGUGUAGUAGUGAAAUGCGUUGAUAUCAUGGGGAACACCGAAGGCGAAGGCAGGUCAUUGGCACUUUUCUGACGCUGAGAUACGAAAGCGUGGGGAGCGAAGGGGAUUAGAUACCCCCGUAGUCCACGCCGUAAACGCUGCAUACUCGGCAUAUGGAGUAUCGACCCUCUGUG